CUGACACUUCAUUUGAGAUGCUGUACCAUUUUGUCACCCACUGUUCUGGAUACUAAGACUUAGAGCCUUGUUUUUGGUAGGUGCUGCACAGACACCUCCCAGGGCUGUGGUCUCUGCCCUGAUACAAGACAGAACCAGUGCAGAGUGAGGCUGCUUCUCUCCAGUCACGGAGGAGAUCAAGAACAGAGCUAGGAACAGGAGGACCCCAGCAAAAUGAUUAUAUAUUCUCAUCACAACAUCUUAGAGGUGUGUGGAAGAUACCGUGCUGAAGAUACAUCAGCUUACUACAAGGGUCUUAUGUCCUGUCUUCAACAGAGUUCCCACAAACAAGAUCCUUUUAAACCUGGAAAAAUUGGAAGCUUUUCAGACAGUGCUUUUAGGAUCUUGUACAGUUUUCAAACAGUAGUGAAGAUAAUAACAGAUAUUUCAGAUAUCUUCAGGUAUCCGAAGAUACCAGGUUUUCAAAUAACAGUGAAGAUCCU
rnacentral:lncRNA from 1 species